rnacentral:piRNA from 1 species
UAUUCGCUUAAUAUAACGGGA